rnacentral:misc_RNA from 1 species
AAAGUCGUAACAAGGUUUCCGUAGGUGAACCUGCGGAAGGAUCAUUAACAGUAACAUGGUUAUGCUUCUAGCAUAGACUGAAUGAAACCCACUCUGAGUACCUUUGCCUGUUGCUUCCGUAGGGCAUGACAUCCGUCACUCUUGACUUUAAUAUUCUCAAGGGAGUCCUUACGGGAGGUAUACUAUUGAAACUCUUGCACUUCAAUGUCUUCUGUCUGAAAUUGUUUACAGCAAACAUUAAAACUUUCAACAACGGAUCUCUUGGUUCUC